rnacentral:sRNA from 1 species
GAGCGAUCAUAAGGGAGCUGACUGCAAAUCUGCCGUCAUCGACUUCAAGGUUCGACUCGAGCAAUAGUGAGAGAACGUUGCCGCAGGCAACGGCCCGAAGGAUGAGGAGCUUUAGCUCCGAAUAAUCCUUCCCGCUAUAGAA